ACGCUUUGGGAGCGGCCCGCGUCCGAUUAGAUAGUUGGUGAGGUAAAGGCUCACCAAGUCUACGAUCGGUAACUGGUCUGAGAGGAUGAUCAGUCAGACUGGAACUGAGACACGGUCCAGACUCCUACGGGAGGCAGCAGUAAGGAAUCUUCCACAAUGGACGAAAGUCUGAUGGAGCAACUCCGCGUGCAGGAUGAAGGCCCUCGGGUCGUAAACUGCUUUUAUGAGUGAAGAAUAUGACGGUAACUCAUGAAUAAGGGUCGGCUAACUACGUGCCAGCAGCCGCGGUCAUACGUAGGACCCAAGCGUUAUCCGGAGUGACUGGGCGUAAAGAGUUGCGUAGGUGGUUAGUAAAGUGAAUAGUGAAACCUGGUGGCUCAACCAUACAGACUAUUAUUCAAACUCACUAACUCGAGAAUGGUAGAGGUAACUGGAAUUUCUAGUGUAGGAGUGAAAUCCGUAGAUAUUAGAAGGAACACCAAUGGCGUAGGCAGGUUACUGGACCAUUUCUGACACUGAGGCACGAAAGCGUGGGGAGCGAACCGGAUUAGAUACCCGGGUAGUCCACGCCGUAAACGAUGGAUACUAGCUGUUGGAGGUAUCGACCCCUUCAGUUGCGAAGCUAACGCGUUAAGUAUCCCGCCUGUGGAGUACGGUCGCAAGACUAAAACAUAAAGGAAUUGACGGGGAGCCGCACAAGCGGUGGAUUAUGUUCUUUAAUUCGAUGAUAACCGAUGAACCUUACCAGGGUUUGACAUCCUUGGAAUUUUGCCGAAAGGCGAGAGUGCUUUAUUGAGCCAAGUGACAGAUGAUGCAUGGCCGUCGUCAGCUCGUGUCGUGAGAUGUUUUGGUUAAGUCCAUUAACGAGCGCAACCCUUGUGAUUAGUUGUAUUUUUCUAAUCAGACUGCCCUGGCAACGGGGAGGAAGGAGGGGAUGAGGUCAGGUCAGUAUUUCUCUUACACCCUGGGCUAGAAACAUAAUACAAUGGCCAGUACAAUGCGCAGCGAAGCCGCGAGGUGGAGCAAAUCGCAUCAAAGCUGGUCCCAGUUCGGAUUGGAGGCUGAAACUCGCCUCCAUGAAGUUGGAAUCGCUAGUAAUCGCAGAUCAGCAAGCUGCGGUGAAUACGUUCCCGGCUCUUGUACACACCGCCCGUCAAACCAUGAAAGUCACCAACACCCGAAGUCCGAUUCGUCGGCCUAAGGUGGGGGGGAUGGUUGGGGUUAAGUCGUAACAAGGUAUCCGUACCGGGGGGUGCGGAUG
rnacentral:rRNA from 1 species